rnacentral:rRNA from 1 species
GACGAACGCUGGCGGCGUGCUUAACACAUGCAAGUCGAACGGAAAGGCCCUGCUUUUGUGGGGUGCUCGAGUGGCGAACGUGUGAGUAACACGUGAGUAACCUGCCCUUGUUCUUGGGAUAACUUCAGGAAUCUGGGGCAAAUACCGGAUAGGAGCUCCUGCUUCAUGGUGGGGGUUGGAUAUUUUUGGCGGUUUGGGGUGGACUUGCGGGUUAUCAGUUUGUUGGUGGGGGAACUGCUUACCAAGGCUUUGAUGGGUAGCCGGCCUGGGGGGGUGGACCGGCACAGUUGGACUGAGGUUAGGCCCAGAAGCCUACCGGGGGAAACCGUGGGGAAAAAUGGCCCAUGGGCGGGAGGCUGGUGGAGGGAAGGCGCGUGGGGGGUUGCGGGCCUUCGGUUGGAAACCCCUUUCCGCCUGUAAGAAGCCUUUAGUGACGGUAACGGGUUAAGAAGCACCGGCUAACUACGUG